AUUAGACUUUGAAGACUAUAAUUUGCUCGAGGAAGUGAAGAGGGUGACUGAAGCAGCUCACAGAACAAGAACUAAAUUAAGUGUGCAUCCUUAUUUUAAGUUGCCGUUUCCCCUCCGAAACCUCCGGCGUGCAGCUGCUAGUAGGAGAACGAAACUCUUGUUCCUUCCAAGUGGACUGUCAAAAAGGGGCCGAAAUCAGUCUCGAUAUGAGCAAAGGAAGAAAUUUAUUUCAUGGACGAUUGAAUGGCGCUUUCACUCGACAGAUGUGUUAUCAUGUGACCAUGGAAUACAUGAGGAUGUGGCCCUUCAUCUUGAUGCAGAGAAAGUCUUGUUUGAGGAGACUGUUUCAUGUCAUCCCGAGACUGACACUGAUCAGUAAAUUCAAGGCAGGGGAGUGAUAAUAUAUGGAAAUCACAAUUCUUUCAUGGGACUGGAAGCGUUAGGUGCUUUGCGGAUGGUGGCUUAAAUUCUUUUCUUGUAGACUUUGAGUAUGGAUAGUGACUAAUGAAACUACAAAGAUAGGGACGAUUCGACAAAUUAAGACACCUCUGUGUAAAGCUUUUGUCAUAGAAAAUGAGAUUAUAGUGUUAGUUGAUGUACAUUCGUCUUACUCAAAUGUUGCAGGUGCUAGAUUAGCAUAAAAAUGAGUUAGUGUGGGCGUUUAACCAGAGUGAGGUUGCUGAGUGGCUCUGUCCAAUACAUCACCCUUAGAUCAAGUCAAAUGGUGUAUUUACCUUUCUUUUCUUCGAUUGCCUUGUUCUAUCUCUCCAAGCUUUUA